CAAAGAAAUUGACGGGGGCCUGCACAAGCGGUGGAGUAUGUGGCUUAAUUCGAUGCAACGCGAAGAACCUUACCUAGGCUUGACAUGUGACUGCACGACCGGUGAAAGCCGGUCUCCUUCGAGGGUGUCACACAGGUGCUGCAUGGCUGUCGUCAGUUCGUGCCGUGAGGUGUUUGGUUAAGUCCACCAACGAACGCAACCCCUGCGUCCAGUUGCCAUCGGGUAAUGCCGGGAACUCUGGACGGACCGCCCCUUCAAACGGGAGGAAGGUGGGGAUGACGUCAAGUCAGUAUGGCCCUUACGCCUAGGGCUGCACACGUGCUACAAUGGCCGGUACAGAGGGACGCGAGACCGCGAGGUGGAGCAAACCCCCAAAACCGGCCCCAGUUCAGAUUGGAGUCUGCAACCCGACUCCAUGAAGUUGGAUUCGCUAGUAACGGCGCAUCAGCAUUCGGCGCCGUGAAUACGUUCCCGGGCCUUGUACACACCGCCCGUCACAUCAUGAAAGCCGUCUGCACCCGAAGCCGGUGCGCCAACUCGCAAGAGAGGCAGCCGUCUAAGGUGUGGGUGGUGAUUGGGAUGAAGUCGUAACAAGGUAGCCGUAGGGGAACCUGCGGCUGGAUCACCUCCUUA
rnacentral:rRNA from 1 species